rnacentral:lncRNA from 1 species
CCCUGUGCAAAGGUCAGAGGGGGCAGGGUUUCUGUUGAGGCAGGUGAUUAGCUGUGGGAGGAGCUUAUCAGAGCCUGCAGGGCAGCAGUUGAAGAAGGAGCAAAAAGGGUGUUCUUGUGUGUGUGUGUGUGUGUGUGUGUGUGUGUGUUUCUUUGUGGCUGAUUGGCUGCUCUCCCUGUGCAAAGGUCAGAGGGGGCAGGGUUUCUGUUGAGGCAGGUGAUUAGCUGUGGGAGGAGCUUAUCAGAGCCUGCAGGGCAGCAGUUGAAGAAGGAGCAAAAGGGUGUUCUGUGUGUGUGUGUGUGUGUGUGUGUGUUUCUUUGUGGCUGAUUGGCUGCUCUCCCUGUGCAAAGGUCAGAGGGGGCAGGGUUUCUGUUGAGGCAGGUGAUUAGCUGUGGGAGGAGCUUAUCAGAGCCUGCAGGGCAGCAGUUGAAGAAGGAUCAAAUAGGGUGUUCGUGUGUGUGUGUGUGUGUGUGUGUGUGUUUCUUUGUGGCUGAUUGGCUGCUCUCCCUGUGCAAAGGUCAGAGGGGGCAGGGUUUCUGUUGAGGCAGGUGAUUAGCUGUGGGAGGAGCUUAUCAGAGCCUGCAGGGCAGCAGUUGAAGAAGGAGCAAAAAGGGUGUUCUUGUGUGUGUGUGUGUGUUUCUUUGUGGCUGAUUGGCUGCUCUCCCUGUGCAAAGGUCAGAGGGGGCAGGGUUUCUGUUGAGGCAGGUGAUUAGCUGUGGGAGGAGCUUAUGAGAGGCUGCAAGGCAGCAGUUGACGAAGGUGCAUAUUGGGUGUUCUUGUGUGUGUGUGUGUUUCUUUGUGGCUGAUUGGCUGCUCUCCCUGUGCAAAGGUCAGAGGGGGCAGGGUUUCUGUUGAGGCAGGUGAUUAGCUGUGGGAGGAGCUUAUCAGAGCCUGCAGGGCAGCAGUUGAAGAAGGAGCAAAAAGGGUGUUCUUGUGUGUGUGUGUGUGUGUGUGUGUGUUUCUUUGUGGCUGAUUGGCUGCUCUCCCUGUGCAAAGGUCAGAGGGGGCAGGGUUUCUGUUGAGGCAGGUGAUUAGCUGUGGGAGGAGCUUAUCAGAGCCUGCAGGGCAGCAGUUGAAGAAGGAGCAAAAAGGGUGUUCUUGUGUGUGUGUGUGUGUUUCUUUGUGGCUGAUUGGCUGCUCUCCCUGUGCAAAGGUCAGAGGGGGCAGGGUUUCUGUUGAGGCAGGUGAUUAGCUGUGGGAGGAGCUUAUCAGAGCCUGCAGAGCAGCAGUUGAAGAAGGAGCAAAAAGGGUGUUCUUGUGUGUGUGUGUGUGUGUGUGUGUGUGUUUCUUUGUGGCUGAUUGGCUGCUCUCCCUGUGCAAAGGUCAGAGGGGGCAGGGUUUCUGUUGAGGCAGGUGAUUAGCUGUGGGAGGAGCUUAUCAGAGCCUGCAGGGCAGCAGUUGAAGAAGGAGCAAAAAGGGUGUUCUUGUGUGUGUGUGUGUGUGUGUUUCUUUGUGGCUGAUUGGCUGCUCUCCCUGUGCAAAGGUCAGAGGGGGCAGGGUUUCUGUUGAGGCAGGUGAUUAGCUGUGGGAGGAGCUUAUCAGAGCUUGCAGGGCAGCGGCGCACGCAGUUUGAUCCAUCUUUUAGAUUUAGGGGAGCUAGUCUCAAACGUUUGAUGGGGGAGACCUAGGUUUUUUUGUGGGGGGAGUUAUUUUUCCUGUCUUCACGCUUUUUAUGAUGGAGGACCGCUGUAGCCACCCCCAACGACACGUUCUCAAGAUGGAGUGGGAGGGAACAGCUGCAGUCGCCUGCGG